ACAGUUCUGCUUCAAUUCCUGCCUCAAGGUUCCUGCCCUGACUGCUCUCAGUGAUGGAGUGAGACCUAAGAUUUGGAACCCGAAGUAAACCCUCAGCUCGCCAAGUUGCUCAUGGUUUUCAUCUCAGCCACAGGGACACAUGGAUGGACUGUAUCCCUCUGCGACUGUGAGCCAAAAGAAAAAUCUCUCGAGCUGCCUUUAUCAGGGUAUUUUAUCCCAGAAACAGAAAGGAAACAGACACAUCUGGAUGUUUUAUUUUGAUUUUAUCCCAUGAGUUCUGGGAGAUAGAACUGAAGCAAGUAUUUUAUACCAACUGAGCUAUAUCCCCAGCCCUACAAGUUAAAUUCUCUAACUGCCUGAUUCACCUCAAAGACAUAAUGAUGAUCUCUGGUUUGGAUCUCAAGACCUGUGAGCAGAGGGAGAGAGAUGGGGCUUUAGCCAAACACCUCACCUGACCAUGGAAGAGACAUGAGGUUUUCCUAUACAUCAUCUAACUGAACUCUCCCAGGUUAGGUCCACCACAGAGAUGUGUGUCACCUUCUUCUAUGGAUCUAGAAAUGGACAUGUAAUGAGAUGGAUUGAGC
rnacentral:lncRNA from 1 species